GUAAUCAUCUCUUCUCUGGAUGUAUGUUAAUCGCAUCCUGUUCAUCAUCAAAAAACUUCCUCAUUGAUUCAGGGCUUUAAAUCGAACUUGAGAAGUUCCAGAGUACUUAUGGCAUCCAUGGCUGCUUUAAAAGGGUACAAUAUGGUGACAUACGCUCCUUUGGAAAAAAAACACCGACACUUUCAUGAUUCAACUGUUUUCAAACACCGCAAACACUAAGGUGCAUUUUGAGCUGAUAGGACGGUACAACUAGCAGAGGCACUGUAUCUGGCGUUGGACAGUAUCUUAAGUUAAAAAAUCCUAAUGUUAACAUUUAUGGGCUCGAUCCCGAAGAAGGCGAUAUACUAACUGGAGGCAAACCUGG